GGUGAGGUGGCCGAGUGGUUAUGGCGCUAGUUUCAGGCAAUGAAAAUGCUGCGCUGAACUGGAUUUCUCUUCCAAUUCGUCAAGAAUUACUAGUGGGGAAACCUUCGUGGGUUCGAGUCCCACCGUAAGUC